rnacentral:rRNA from 1 species
GAUGAACGCUGGCGGCGUGCUUAACACAUGCAAGUCGAACGAUGAAGCCCAGCUUGCUGGGUGUGUUAGUGGCGAACGGGUGAGUAACACGUGAGUAACCUGCCCUUAACUCUGGGAUAAGCCUGGGAAACUGGGUCUAAUACCGGAUAGGAGCGUCCACCGCAUGGUGGGUGUUGGAGAGAUUUAUCGGUUUUGGAUGGACUCGCGGCCUAUCAGCUUGUUGGUGAGGUAAUGGCUCACCAAGGCGACGACGGGUAGCCGGCCUGAGAGGGUGACCGGCCACACUGGGACUGAGACACGGCCCAGACUCCUACGGGAGGCAGCAGUGGGGAAUAUUGCACAAUGGGCGAAAGCCUGAUGCAGCGACGCCGCGUGAGGGAUGACGGCCUUCGGGUUGUAAACCUCUUUCAGUAGGGAAGAAGCGAAAGUGACGGUACCUGCAGAAGAAGCACCGGCUAACUACGUG